rnacentral:rRNA from 1 species
AGUGAACGCUGGCGGUAGGCCUAACACAUGCAAGUCGAACGGCAGCACAGUAAGAGCUUGCUCUUACGGGUGGCGAGUGGCGGACGGGUGAGGAAUACAUCGGAAUCUACUUUUUCGUGGGGGAUAACGUAGGGAAACUUACGCUAAUACCGCAUACGACCUACGGGUGAAAGCAGGGGAUCUUCGGACCUUGCGCGAUUGAAUGAGCCGAUGUCGGAUUAGCUAGUUGGCGGGGUAAAGGCCCACCAAGGCGACGAUCCGUAGCUGGUCUGAGAGGAUGAUCAGCCACACUGUAACUGAGACACGGUCCAGACUCCUACGGGAGGCAGCAGUGGGGAAUAUUGGACAAUGGGCGCAAGCCUGAUCCAGCCAUACCGCGUGGGUGAAGAAGGCCUUCGGGUUGUAAAGCCCUUUUGUCGGGAAAGAAAAGCAGCAGGUUAAUACCCCGCUGUUCUGACGGUACCCAAAGAAUAAGCACCGGCUAACUUCGUG